rnacentral:rRNA from 1 species
UGAGGAAUAUUGGUCAAUGGGUGCAAGCCUGAACCAGCCAUCCCGCGUGAAGGACGACUGCCCUAUGGGUUGUAAACUUCUUUUGUAUAGGGAUAAACCUACCCUCGUGAGGGUAGCUGAAGGUACUAUACGAAUAAGCACCGGCUAACUCCGUGCCAGCAGCCGCGGUAAUACGGAGGAUCCGAGCGUUAUCCGGAUUUAUUGGGUUUAAAGGGUGCGUAGGUGGUUUGAUAAGUCAGCGGUGAAAGUUUGCAGCUUAACUGUAAAAAUGCCGUUGAAACUGUCGGACUUGAGUGUAAAUGAGGUAGGCGGAAUGCGUGGUGUAGCGGUGAAAUGCAUAGAUAUCACGCAGAACUCCGAUUGCGAAGGCAGCUUACUAAGCUACAACUGACACUGAAGCACGAAAGCGUGGGGAUCAAACA